rnacentral:rRNA from 1 species
GACAGAGGGUGCAAACGUUGUUCGGAAUUACUGGGCGUAAAGCGCGUGUAGGCUGCCUUGUAAGUCGGAUGUGAAAGCCCCGGGCUCAACCUGGGAAGUGCAUUCGAAACUGCGAGGCUUGAGUCCUGGAGAGGAAGGCGGAAUUCUCGGUGUAGAGGUGAAAUUCGUAGAUAUCGAGAGGAACACCGGUGGCGAAGGCGGCCUUCUGGACAGUGACUGACGCUGAGACGCGAAAGCGUGGGGAG